UUUAUUUAAUUUUCAAGGUGUACAAGGAGGUGGUUUUAAAGUCACCCAGCUGCUCAGUUUCCCUCACAGGAAGUCUACACUAAAUCUUCAUGAUUUCUAGGUCCAGACUUAUAGUAUCUCCCUGUUUGUGUAUGGAGUAGGAGGAGCUCACAGGAAUCUUCUUAAGCCUGUGCAGAGAGAGAGAGCUGAUGGUGACUGCUUGGGCAGAACAUUUUCUCUGACUCUCACCAUAGUGCAGACAACAGAGAGAGUAAUUACCACUCCUGAAAGCCUAAGAAUUCAAGGAUAAUGAGGGCAGUUCUCUAUACUGUAGAAAGGAACAUGUAUGGAAAAGUGGACAAGAUUAUUACAGAUUUUUAAUACUACCUUUAAGAGCUUUAUAUUUUUUUUCAUCUCAGAUAUCUGCUGAUUUUAGUGAAUGCACCAUAUGGCAUAAGAAUCUGAUAGUGGAGCAGGGUAUGAAUGUGCAGGGGACAUAGGGAAGCUCUUCACUGUCUGUUCAGUAACAUGUGAACCUACAUUUUUCUACUCAAUAAAUUUAGCUAAAUAUAUGUAUUCAAAUGAAUACAGAAAUUCUAGUAUUUGACUUUUAAAAUCCUACACAUACUUAUUUUCAUGGAUGGCUCCUGUUGUAAUAUCAUUCACUAAUCUUACUUCUUUGAAAUAUUUUUUCUUAGGUAUUAAUUAGCCCAUAUUUGUAUCAUCUGAAGAAGUGAAUAUUUUGUUUCUACACUAUUUCUCUUUAAUUAUGUGUUACUUUUUGGUAUUCCAAGACUUUGGACAUGGCCUGGAAAUGUGGCAAAAUUGCUGACAGGGGCCACUAAAGCAUAUUCCUAACAUACAGCCAUAUGAGUUAUGGGGUAGCUGUCCUGAUGUGCAGCCAGCCCUGCCUCACUGCAGGUGGCUCACCAUGGGACAGGUGCCUGCAGAGCUAGAGUUCCCUCAAUGCACCUGCAGGUAUUAAAAUAUCUAAAUGUUCCUUCAUAAUUGACCUUGUACAUAGAAUAAAUAUUUACAAAUAAAUUAAAAAUUUAAAAUGAAAAGUUUAGAAAUACUACUAGUUUGGAGAUAAUAAGAAUAUAUAGAAAUGGAAGUAAAUAUGAGCUGGAUUAAUAGAAGAACCUGCUCAUUAUUAUUACAGAAGCUUGAUGAUACAUGCUAUUCUCUUUGUAAACACUCAGCCAGUAUCAAGAGCCCUCUGUGCACCUGAUCAGAGUAUGAAUCUGGACAGAGACUUAACAUGUGUGUGCACGAGUUCUCCUGGUCAUCUCAGCCCGUGCAUUAUGUCAUGAAGAUUCAGGAAUCACCAUGUGCUGCCUUCACAACAGGGAUUUGUAACUUCAGCACUUAACUGGUCAUAUGAACCUCAUUAAAACCUGCUAGUGAAAAUAAAAUCUUAUGUAAGUUCUCAGGGUGGGAACUCUGGAGUGUGG
rnacentral:lncRNA from 1 species